GGCAAGCACGACGCGGGAGGGGACACGAGCGCGCGGGGAGAGCGCGGCCACCCGAAGGUGAGGGACGGGGGAGGCGCGGCGGGAGGGCGCCCGCGGCGGUCUGCGCGGCUGGGCGACGGGCAGAGCGGACCCUCCCGCGGGCACCCGCCCCCGGGCCCGAGGGGCUCCCGGCCUAGAAGUCCUCGUCCUCCACCCAUCCAAAGACCCGCUUCAUCUCGGCCAGGAAGCCCCGGUAAUCGUUGAGGAGGGGGCUCUGCUUCCUGAUGUAGGGGAUCACCCACUGCAGGGCCGGCCCGGCCUAGAAGUCCUCGUCCUCCACCCAUCCAAAGACCCGCUUCAUCUCGGCCAGGAAGCCCCGGUAAUCGUUGAGGAGGGGGCUCUGCUUCCUGAUGUAGGGGAUCACCCACUGCAGGGCCGGCCCGGUGAGGCGGGUGAUGAGGAACGUCACCUUCAGGCUGUCGUUGGAGAACAGGGUCUCGUCCACGAGCAUGUAGGCGCCCGUCUGCACGAUAAACUCCGGGAGCCGGUCGGUGUCGCCGUCAAACGUCUCGGGGAAGGGGAUCGGGUUCCUCCACCGACGCGUCUGGGGCCGGAUGGGUAAGGCCAGGAGGGCCUUGAUCAGCUGCACCCGGCCGUCCAUCGCGCCUCGCUCGCCUGGCUGGGCUGCAGGGGCCUCUCGGCGAGGUGGGCGAGGAGGCGGGGCGGGAAGUGCGUGUGCGGGGAGGCGGGG
rnacentral:lncRNA from 1 species